rnacentral:rRNA from 1 species
UACGUAGGGUGCAAGCGUUGUCCGGAAUUAUUGGGCGUAAAGAGCUCGUAGGCGGUUUGUCGCGUCUGCUGUGAAAACUCGGGGCUUAACCCCGGGCCUGCAGUGGGUACGGGCAGACUAGAGUGCGGUAGGGGAGACUGGAAUUCCUGGUGUAGCGGUGAAAUGCGCAGAUAUCAGGAGGAACACCGGUGGCGAAGGCGGGUCUCUGGGCCGUAACUGACGCUGAGGGGCGAAAGCGUGGGGAGCAAACAGG